AUUGAACGCUGGCGACAGGCCUAACACAUGCAAGUCGAACGAGUGGCGGACGGGUGAGUAAUGUCUGGGAAACUGCCUUAUGGAGGGGGAUAACUACUGGACACGGGCGAUAAUACCGCAUUCCAUCGUAUGUGCCCAUAUGGGAUUAGCUAGUAGGUGGGGUAAAGGCUCACCUAGGCGACGCUCCCUCGCUGGUCUGAGAGGAUGACCAGCCACACGGGAACUGAGACACGGUCCAGACGCCUACGGGAGGCAGCAGUGGGGAAUAUUGCACAAUGGGCGCAAGCCUGAUGGAGCCAGGCCGCGUGUGUGAAGAAGGCCUUCGGGUUGUAAAGUACUUUCAGCGGGGAGGCGUUACCCGCAGAAGAAGCACCGGCUAACUCCGUGCCAGCAGCCGCGGUAAUAC
rnacentral:rRNA from 1 species